GAUGAAGAACGUAGCGAAAUGCGAUACGUAAUGUGAAUUGCAGAAUUCAGUGAAUCAUCGAGUCUUUGAACGCACAUUGCGCCCGCCAGCACUCUGGCGGGCAUGCCUGUUCGAGCGUCAUUUCAACCAUCAAGCCCCAGGCUUGCGUUGGAGCCCUGCGGCUGCCGCAGCCUCCUAAAAGCAGUGGCGGGCUCGCUAUCACACCGAGUGCAGUAGUUUACUCUUCGCUCAGGGCGUGCAGCGGGUUCCGGCCGUGAAACCCCCUACUUUUAAAGGUUGACCUCGGAUCAGGUAGGAAUACCCGCUGAACUUAAGCAUAUCAAUAAGCGGAGGA
rnacentral:misc_RNA from 1 species